rnacentral:rRNA from 1 species
UACGAAGGGUGCUAGCGUUGUUCGGAUUUACUGGGCGUAAAGGGCACGCAGGCGGCCAAACAAGUCAGAGGUGAAAUCCCAGGGCUCAACCCUGGAACUGCCUUUGAAACUGUUUGGCUAGAGACCGAGAGAGGAUAGUGGAAUUCCUGGUGUAGCGGUGAAAUGCGCAGAUAUCAGGAGGAACACCAAUGGCGAAGGCAGCUCGCUGGAACGGUACUGACGCUGAGGCGCGAAAGCGUGGGGAGCAAACAGG